CGAGAGGACCGGGACGGACGUACCUCUGGCGCACCAGUUGUUCCGCCAGGAGCAUAGCUGGGCAACUACGUACGGAUUGGAUAAACGCUGAAAGCAUCUAAGCGUGAAGCCGACCCAAAGAUAAGAUGUCCCAUUGUUUUAAACAAGUAAGACCCCUUGAAGACUACAAGGUCGAUAGGCACGAUGUGUAAGUGGAGCGAUUCAUUCAGCAAGCGUGUACUAAUAGGUCGAGGGCUUGACCACAA
rnacentral:rRNA from 1 species